UGCGAUACACAGCAAGCGGCUAAGCGAAAGCAUUAAGUGAACCACCUGGGGAGUACGAUCGCAAGGUUGAAACUCAAAGGAAUUGACGGGGGCCCGCACAAGCGGAGGAACAUGUGGUUUAAUUCGAUGAUACGCGAGGAACCUUACCUGGGCUUAAAUGUAGAUUGCAUAGAGUGGAAACAUUCUUUUUCUUCGGGACUAUUUACAAGGUGCUGCAUGGUUGUCGUCAGCUCGUGCCGUGAGGUGUCGGGUUAAGUCCCAUAACGAGCGCAACCCCUAUCGUUAGUUGCCAGCGGGUAAUGCCGGGGACUCUAGCGAGACUGCCACCGUAAGGUGAGAGGAAGGUGGGGAUGACGUCAAAUCAGCACGGCCCUUAUGUCCAGGGCUACACACGUGUUACAAUGGCCGGUACAAAGGGCAGCUACAUGGCAACAUGAUGCUAAUCUCUAAAGCCGGUCCCAGUUCGGAUUGGAGUCUGCAACCCGACUCCAUGAAGUUGGAUUCGCUAGUAAUCGGAUAUCAGCAAUGAUCCGGUGAAUACGUUCCCGGGCCUUGUACACACCGCCCGUCAAACCAUGGAAGCCGGGAGUACCUGAAGUC
rnacentral:rRNA from 1 species